UACAGAGGUCUCAAGCGUUGUUCGGAUUCAUUGGGCGUAAAGGGUGCGUAGGCGGCGCGGUAAGUCGGGUGUGAAAUCUCGGGGCUUAACUCCGAAACUGCAUUCGAUACUGCCGUGCUUGAGGACUGGGAGAGGAGACUGGAAUUUACGGUGUAGCGGUGAAAUGCGUAGAUAUCGUAAGGAAGACCAGUGGCGAAGGCGGGUCUCUGGACAAGUUCCUGACGCUGAGGCACGAAGGCCAGGGGAGCAAAACGGG
rnacentral:rRNA from 1 species